rnacentral:RNase_P_RNA from 1 species
GGUAGAGAGAGCCCGAUCCCCGUGGGCAUGGUGCCAGCGGGCACCCCCCAUGAGGAAAGUCCCCCCACCGUUCGGACAGGUGACCGGGCGCAAGCCCGGAGUCGGAGACGGCUGGCGCUGAAACAGCAACGAGACCCCCUGCCCCGACCGAUGAGGUGCGCGAACCGAUCCGUAAGGAAAGGGAGUUAAUCCACCGAGGAAUGCGGGUUUCGCCCGCGAGACGGGCAGGAACGGAUGGAACGGUGAAUCCUCACCGGUGCAAGGUCGCGUCAGGCGGUCGGUCGGCCACGCGGUGUGGUCGCCGGCCGCCGAGGUAGUCCGAACACGACGCGACUGCUCAGCCGAAUGUCGGGUCGAAACAGAAGGGGGCUUACUCCUCUCAACC